rnacentral:vault_RNA from 15 species
GGGCCGGCUUUUAGCCCAGCGGUUCCUUCGGCAUUUCAGAACAUUUCCUGCUCUGACUAACGUUAAGGCGUUCGAGCCCCGCGGGCGCUUCCUGGCCCUUUU